GCCAGCACGGGCUACCCCUUCUAACCCAUGGUUAUCCGAUGUUCUUUGGUCCAAACUCAGAGCAUCAUAGAGAAAAUGGCGCAAAUCAAAAGAUCUGUCUGACCUGAAACAACCAACUGGAUCCUAACCAGUCAGGCUUCAGGAGUGGCCAUUCAGCUGAGACUGCACUACUGUCAGUCACUGAAGCCCUACGGAUUGCAAAAGCUGAUUCCAAAUCAUCAGUUCUUAUUUUGCUGGAUCUAUCCGCUGCUUUUGACACAGUGAAUCAUCAGAUCCUCCUGUCCACCUUCUUAUCACUGGGCAUCACAGGGAUUCCACUUCGCUGGUUUGAAUCCUAUCUCACUGGUUACAGGCUUCAGGAGGAGAUAUUAAUUCGUAAGAGGGAGCAGAGGUAGGAUGGUGCGGAAGCAAGUGGCUGUUCUUUGCUUAGGUUUACUCCUGUUGCUGUCUUUACUGCACACCAAUCAGUCUGCACAUAUUGUGGCUAUGCAAAAAAUGGCAACAUUGGGUGAAGAUGCGGUUACAUAUCUGGAAAACGCAGCUGCUUCAGCCCUGAGGAAUCACACAGGGUCCCACUCAGUUGGAUGCAUUAAGGAAGCAAAGAAGCAUGAACACCUCAACUGCAAUCUCAUCUCUACAUUCAGCUCUUAUUUUCAGGAGGCAGCUGAUCUAAAGAGUCUCGACAAAGAGCUGUGCAACAAGCUGAAAGCUAUCAUACAGAACGUUGCGGAUCUAAAAAACGAGUUGCAAAGGUUACAAAAGUGCAGCAGGUAUUCAACAACCUGUGAGGCAGCCUUUCCAGGUAGUAAGGAAGCUUAUAAGAAUUUAGAAAAGCUGAGAAGCCUAAUUGUGCUUUUCAAACACUGGAUUGUUAAACCACUGGAAUGAUAUUACUGCUAAACACUCCAUCAUUCCCAUUUCUACUAAUGCUUUCACUAUUUAUUGUUGCUGGUUCAAUUAUUUGUUAAAAAUAUUAAUUGUCUUUGUUUUAUUUAUUUAUUUAUACAUAAAUGCAUUUUGUAGCAGAGAACUCAUUACUGCCUAAAAAUAUUUCUGCACAUCUAGGAGAAAUUCAUGAGAUGUUUAAAGUUUUCAGAUCUUUAUGCUUGUUUUCGAGCAGUCCAAUUUUUGUACAAUCUGACAAUGUCACAUACUGUGUAAUCAUGGUAAACAUGAUAUGAGUAUUUAGCAUUUGAAU
ensembl:lncRNA